rnacentral:snoRNA from 1 species
ACCCUCCGGAUUCCUUACCCCUCACUUCUAAAUAUUGGUCUGAGGGAUGGAAGGGGGAGGAAAGUAAAGAUGAAGUGGACGUGGAGCCUUCAGUGACAUAUAAAUUCAUUUCAAGCAUUU